GCUGGCGUAGCUCAACGGCAGAGCAGCUGAUUUGUAAUCAGCAGGUUGUCGGUUCGAGCCCGACCGCCAGCUCCA
rnacentral:tRNA from 1 species